CUGCUGUGAUGAGUUCAGUCUGGUUUCGCUUGUGUCGGAUGUUUGGUGAAGACACUUCUCUUGGCUGUCUGAGCAG